GAUGAACGCUGGCGGCGUGCCUAAUACAUGCAAGUCGAGCGAACAGACGAGGAGCUUGCUCCUCUGACGUUAGCGGCGGACGGGUGAGUAACGCGUGGAUAACCUACCUAUAAGACUGGGAUAACUUCGGGAAACCGGAGCUAAUACCGGAUAAUAUAUUGAACCGCAUGGUUCAAUAGUGAAAGACGGUUUUGCUGUCACUUAUAGAUGGAUCCGCGCCGCAUUAGCUAGUUGGUAAGGUAACGGCUUACCAAGGCAACGAUGCGUAGCCGACCUGAGAGGGUGAUCGGCCACACUGGAACUGAGACACGGUCCAGACUCCUACGGGAGGCAGCAGUAGGGAAUCUUCCGCAAUGGGCGAAAGCCUGACGGAGCAACGCCACGUGAGUGAUGAAGGUCUUCGGAUCGUAAAACUCUGUUAUUAGGGAAGAACAAAUGUGUAAGUAAAUAUGCACGUCUUGACGGUACCUAAUCAGAAAGCCACGGCUAACUACGUG
rnacentral:rRNA from 1 species